rnacentral:lncRNA from 1 species
CAAUCCCAGUCCAGGUGUUGUUCCCAGUCCAGGUGCUGCUCCCAGUUCAGGUGUUGGUGUUCCCAGUCCAAGUGUUGCUCCCAGUCCCGGUGUUGCUCCCAGCCCCAGUCCUCCCAGUCCAGGUGCUGCUCCCAGUCCCGGUGCUGCUCCCAGUCCAGGUGUUGUUGCUCCCAGUCCCGGUGUUGCUGUCACCCCAAUCCCAGUCCAGGUGUUGUUC